GGAAAACAGGUUAAUAUUCCUGUACUUCCAGUUAUUGCGAUGGAGGGACGGAGAAGGUUAGGCCAGCCUGGCGUUGGUUGUCCAGGUUUAAGGUGGUAGGCUGAAAUCUUAGGCAAAUCCGGGAUUUCAAGGCCGAGAGCUGAUGACGAGUUGCCUUUAGGCGACGAAGUGGUUGAUACCAUGCUUCCAAGAAAAGCUCCUAAGCUUCAGAUAACUGGGAACCGUACCCCAAACCGACACAGGUGGUUAGGUAGA
rnacentral:rRNA from 1 species